AAAAUAACUUUGAAUCAUAAAGGAAAAUGAAAGGGAGGCGUUGCUAUGCAGCAGGGUACUUACGGUUAGAACUUAGGAAUAAAGGUUCAGUGAAAAAAAAAUAUAUAUGAUAUGAGGUUGAGCCUGGAAACCAUGACUCAUAUAUCGUUAUAAUAGCAGUUUACCAAAGAACUACAAGAUGUUAAGGUAUUAUAUUUUUCUUGAAAUUUAAUUUAUUUUGGUUUGAUUCUAUCAAAAUUUCUUUUCUCAAAACCAAACUGAACAGAAUAAACCAAGUGCUCACCCCUACAUGAUAAUACUUGUGAACAGAAAUGUACAUGUGCACUCUUCAAGCAAGAGCAAGGGAUUGUAUAUCAUUUUGAAAGCUUUGUGUGUCCUAAUGCAUGAUGAAAUAAAUUUAAGACACAUUUCUGUAUAACAUGGUUAUAUGAUGCAGCUCUAGUAAUAUCCUAAAGUUUGGAGGCAUGAGCUGUGAUUUUGCUCAAGGCAAUUGCUGUCUUCGAACCAGAAGAACGCCCCAAAUGCUUGCAGAUGAAAUUUCCUGCUAAAAUGACCUUCUGGAGAUCCACAUUAGUCUUGACUCCAAGACCAUUGAGCAUGUAGACAACAUCUUCAGUAGCAACAUUACCAGAAGCCCCCUUAGCAUAUGGGCAACCCCCAAGACCAGAGACUGAUGAAUCAACAGUGUUGAUCCCCAUAUGGAGUGAUGCUAGAAUAUUUGAAAGAGCUUGACCAUAAGUGUCGUGAAAAUGGACAGCAAGCUUAUCAACAGGGACAACAUUAAGAACAGCUCCAAGCAUUGGAAUGACAGUACCUGAGUCAUGGAAAGAGAGAAAUAAAAUAAAAUAAAAAUUAACUGAGUAAAAAUUAAAUAGUUAAUCUCUCUCUUUCUUUUUUUUUUUGGGACAAGCAACAUCAUUCUAGUUCAGGUUUGAGCCAGAAAAUCCCUAAGGUGAAAUGGGACUUUACUGCUCUGAUACCAAGAAAGUCCAAUGGGCAAAGCAAGAGAAGCUUUGUCAAACAAUGGUGUCAAAAAAUUAGCAAGAGAUACAGUAUCUUAGAUAACAAGAGAAAAUGCUCUCUGCUCAUCAGUGGGGAAAUAAAAAAACAACUGAUGUGCCAUAUUAUCUGAUAAGUUCUGGAUUCUGAAGGCACAGAUAUGGGGUUUGGGGAAUCAGGAUGGUGAUAUUGGAUUCUUAGUGUAUCAUCUGAGAUGACCGACAGUGUCCCAUAGGCUAAUGUUAAAAAAGGUCAUAAAAAAGUUUUUCUUCCUUUUCCCCUGCUGAGAUGUAUUAAUCUCACCAGACUAGCUGUAGGAGAAAACUACCCCCGUUAUUUCAUCUCAACCCUCUAGCAUUUUGAAAUCUGUUUUGAUAUUCAAGAACUUGAUUUUGCCCACUUGAAGGGAUGCUCCAAAAUCUCUUUGCUAAAUAGGGUAUUACUUUGGUCUUUUUUAGUUGUUUGACUAGUACUCUCAGAAACACCUUUUAGAUUUACAACAUUAUUUGAGAAAUUUGCAUGGAUGUACAAACUUAAGUGUAAAUAUUUUACAAUUUCAGGUUUUUUUUUUUACUAUUUAAAACAUAACAGCAAUUUCUUUAAUUCUUUGUUGAAGUGUAUGGGAUGUCACUCAAACAGUUGCAUCAAAUUCUAAAUAGGCUUUCUAAAUUUCUUAAAACUCUUAUUAAUGACUACACAGCACGUAAGCAAAUCAGUCAGAAAAAAAAUAUACAAAACUGAAACAUAAAAUAAACUCAAAAAAAGAACAAUUUACAAAUUAUUUUAUAUUCUUUGCUACAGUAUUCUAUGGAAAAAUUUUGCCCAGCUAAAGUAAUGGGAGAAUAAACAGACCGAUAAAAUGUUACAAGAAAUGAAUUAAAGAAGUAGACAGGCCAAAGACGUCUAAGAGAGAGAAGACAAUUCCUAGAGAUGGUACUCAUCCCCCCUAGCUUUCUCUUUGUGUGUGCACGCGUGUGUGUGCACGCAUGUGUGUGUGUUAACAUUUUCCUUUUUAUUUCCAUUUUUAAGCAUACGACUUUGCACCACAAUCCCUAAGGCAUGCUUCUCAUUUGCUCCUAGGUGAUGGCACUUUCCACAAGCCUUUGAACCUUCUGCCUUAGGCAUGCAUUUAACUACACUAAGAUACAUUGUAAUUCUAACUAGCCCACAAGGAAAUUAAAGAUCAUGGCUUCAUUUGAUUAUUAGAAUAGGAUAGAAAUAGGUAAGUUGUUCCAAGUUUUGGUUCAAAUUAAAAGUGAAAAAAAAAAAUUAUUUCAUGGAAUGGCUAUUUCAUUAUCUCAAUGUUCAACUAAAAUUUAAAAUAAGUAAAAAAUAUUAGUAUUAGCAAAAGGAAGUUUCAAACAUUACCAGGAGUACCAACACCAAUUGUAUCACCAAGGGAAAUUUCAGAACAACCCAUAUCGCAAAGUCGUUUAGCAACAUAUGCAACAUUUGACGGAGAUAUCAUUCCUUCUACUGGACACCCCACAACACAUGAUAUAUAUCCACGAACAGGAAUUGAAAGCUUGCUGGCAGCAAGGGCAACAUCAUUAUAACGACCCAGACUAUCUUCAAUGCUGCAAUUGAUAUUUGACUUUGAAAAAGAUUCUGAAGCUGAUGCAAAGAUGGCAACUUCCUUCGCUCCAGCUGCAACAGCUGCUUCAAAACCUUUCAGAUUAGGAGUUAAUACUGGAAAUCUAGCACCUUCAAGAUCUCUAAUUGCUGCCAUUACAUCCUUUGCAUCAGCUAGCUGUGGUACCCAUUUUGGUGAGACAAAACUUGUUGCCUCAACAACAGGCAACCCAGAAGAAACUAGCAUUCUAAUCAACUCAACCUUGACAGGAGUAGGUACAACAUCCUUCUCAUUUUGUAAUCCAUCCCUUGGACCUACUUCAACUAUCUUCACAUAUUCUGGAAUGCUUCCUAAAACCUUGUCUGAAAAUCCUCUUAUUGAUUUGUCAUUUGACAAGAAAUUAUAAUGACGACUUGACAUGUGCCAAUCAUGGCAAUGAUUAUCAAUUUCUAAAGAAUUCCCACCAAUACUUGCAUGUGUAAGAGUCAAGAAACCAGCCGGAGAUACAUUUCUUCUUUGUCCACUCCAGUAUAUUGUCUCUCGUGUAUCAUUGGCACCUUCUGAAUAGGAAACUCCAAAAGAAAUGUGCCCUUGGAGCAAGCAGCUAUCACCUGAAUUAAUCGUCGAGGGAAAAGGGAUGCAACGCCGGCAAAGCUUAUCAAAAGCCUUCUUUGAGGCUAGCAUCGCAAAAUCAAACGAAGCUAGAGUAUAUUUUGAGGAAAAAACUGCUUAUUAUCAGGGACCAGAAUGGAAGUAGGAAAAGAAGAAGAGAGACACCAUCAAUUUGCUUUGAUAACAGACCAACCGAUAAGGCUGAGCAUUUGGUUUGGUCGGUUUGGUUUCGAACCGAAUCGAACCUACCGGCCAAACUGAAAAAUCAAACAAUCAAUUAUAAAACCGAUCAGCGUGAUAAAAUUGAACCGAACCGAACCGAAAAUCUCGAUUCGGUUCAGCUUUUUGAUUUGGGUCGAGAACCAUUAAUUCUAACUCUCUAAUCACCCACAUACAACCAAACAUGGAUGAUGGAAACUAACAUCCCAAUACAAUCAAUCAAAAGACUCAUAUAAUCAGCUUUCAAAAAGAAAACGAUUAAUUUGAUGCAAAUUGCAGAAGAAUUGUAGAAACGAUGCAGUAUUUCUUUGAGGCAUUUUAUCAAACACUUUCCGAGCGAAGUCAAUCAGGCCACAUUUCGAGUACAUAUUGAUGAGCAUAUUGCACGUUAGAGUGUCUGCUUUUAGCCCAAAAUGAAUAAGUUGUGCAUGGCAGGCCUUGCCUUUCAUGGGUUCUCGACUUCUUGCACAAAAUUGUAAGAGGUAAUGCAGGUUUGUUAAUGGUGUGGCUUUUGUUUCUUUCCAUAACCGGUCUUCUUGUAUUGUUCUCUCAGGUUCGGCAGCAUAUGCUCGCACCGAAAUGCAUCUAAAAUGGAGAUUAACCUUGUCGCUGAGUCCCUUUUUGUACCUGCUCACGGUUUUCAUAUAAUUGCUUGUUAGUUGGUUUAUUUGAUCAUUGCCUGUAUGACGAUGGGAAGUGAGAUCAUUUCCACGCUUCCACCAUAACCAAUAAGUCACCCAACAAAUAACACACCGUCUAUGGCCAC
rnacentral:misc_RNA from 1 species